rnacentral:rRNA from 1 species
AACGAACGCUGGCGGCAUGCCUAACACAUGCAAGUCGAACGAGACCUUCGGGUCUAGUGGCGCACGGGUGCGUAACGCGUGGGAACCUGCCCUUAGGUUCGGAAUAACUCCCCGAAAGGGGUGCUAAUACCGGAUAAUGUCUUCGGCCCAAAGAUUUAUCGCCUUUGGAUGGGCCCGCGUUGGAUUAGCUAGUUGGUAGGGUAAAAGCCUACCAAGGCGACGAUCCAUAGCUGGUCUGAGAGGAUGAUCAGCCACACUGGGACUGAGACACGGCCCAGACUCCUACGGGAGGCAGCAGUGGGGAAUAUUGGACAAUGGGCGAAAGCCUGAUCCAGCAAUGCCGCGUGAGUGAUGAAGGCCUUAGGGUUGUAAAGCUCUUUUACCCGGGAUGAUAAUGACAGUACCGAGAGAAUAAGCUCCGGCUAACUCCGUG